UGAUAGCUCAGCUGGUAGAGCAUUAGACUCUAAUCUCAGGCUCGUGGGUUCAAAUCCCAUGUUGGGCAAAA